rnacentral:rRNA from 2 species
CGUCGUGCUGGGGAUAGAGCAUUGUAAUUAUUGCUCUUCAACGAGGAAUUCCUAGUAAGCGCAAGUCAUCAGCUUGCGUUGAUUACGUCCCUGCCCUUUGUACACACCGCCCGUCGCUAGUACCGAUUGAAUGGCUUAGUGAGGCCUC